AACAAUCACCUCACUACUAUAGAAAGACAUAUUCAGGACGGUAUCAUAGGUGUCGAAAUAGAUAAAAUUGGUAUCUAUAAUAUUUUUCACACCUCCAUAUGUUGAAAAAAAAAACUAAAACAUUUAAGCGACUAUAUAUAUCGGUUCUAUAGAAAAACCGACACCUAUACUAAGUACCGGUUUUUUGUCCUUAUCUUAUCGUAGCUGUUAAUUAAUUAAAUAACCGGCACCUAUAAUAAUUGUUGGUUUUAAAAAAUAUCGAUACCCGUAAAAACAAAGCCGAGCUGACUGCCCUUCCUUAUCCUCCCAAGUAGAUAAAGACCUCACUCCCGCGCCUCUCUCUCUCUCUCUCCUCAUGCGUGGCGGCGGUGGGAGGGGAACCAGCAACAGGGGCACCUCUCUCCCUACCCAGGCAACGGCGGUGCCCUCCCUUCCACCAAAUCAGGCGGGAGGGGAGGCGGCGGCAACAAAGGAGCUGGACGGGCCGGAGGCGAGGAUCGCGGACUACUUCGAUGUGAUCGCCGGGACGAGCACCGGGGCGCUGAUCACGUCGAUGCUGGCGGCGCCGGACGACAACCGGCAACCGCUCUUCGCCGCCGACGACCUCACCAAGUUCUACCUCGAGAACGGGCCCAAGAUCUUCCCGCAACAGAGGGUUGGGUUCUUGACGCCGGUGGCGAACCUGAUUGGCACGGUGAGAGGGCCCAAGUAUGACGGCUCGUUCUUGCACGACAAGAUCAAGAGCCUUACCCACGAUGUGACCAUUGCCGACACAGUCACCAACAUCGUCGUGCCAGCAUUUGAUGUCAAGUAUCUGCAACCCAUCAUCUUCUCCACCUACGAGGCCAAGAACGAGCCCCUCAAGAACGCCCACCUCUCCGACAUCUGCAUCAGCACGUCAGCGGCGCCCACUUACUUCCUCGCGCACUUCUUCAAGACCACCAGCCCCUCCGGCGAGUCUCGAGAGUUCCACCUUAUUGAUCGCGGUGUCGCUGCAAACAACCCGAUACCGAGCAUAUAUCAUUUAGUAUGAGAAAUUUAAUUCUUUUAAGAGGUAUCAAAAUUUACAUCAGAAGGUAUGAUACCUCCUAAUAUCUUCUUAAUCACCAUAAAAUCACUCGUUUAGUAUAUAUACCUUCAAUCUCAAAAGGCAACAUAUCAAUUGUGCACAUUGUUGGUACCAUCUUGAACACAACUUUGACCAUUUGUUGAGUGCUCGUGCGUGCAGACAAUGGUAGCCAUGUCUAUGAUCAGCAAGGAGGUGUUGCGCGAGAACCAGGACUUCAAAUUGGGUAAGCCAGCAGAUUACAGGCACUACUUGGUGAUCUCGAUCGGGACGGGAACGGCGACGAUGGCGGAGAAGUACACCGCACCGGCAUGCGCGAAAUGGGGUGUACUCCGGUGGCUCUACGACAGCGGCUUCACCCCACUCAUCGACAUCUUCAGCCAUGCAAGUGCAGACAUGGUCGACAUCCAUGCCUCCGUUCUCUUCCAGUCUCUCUCCUGCGAGAAGAGCUACCUCCGCAUUUAGGACGAUUCGCUGGUGGGGCACACGUCGUCGGUGGAUAUCGCGACGGAGGAGAACAUGGAGGCACUGAUCGGGAUCGGCAAGGACCUUCUGAAGAAGCCAGUGGCGAGGGUGAACAUAGACACUGGAGUACACGAGCCCGUCGAUGGCGAGGGCACCAACGAGGAGGCACUCGCUCGCUUCGCUAAGAAGCUCUCAGAGGAGAGAAGGCUACGCAGAAACAGCCUCAGUUCCUCUUGAGCUGAGCUAAAGCUAAGUUAGCUAGCUAGCUCAGUUCUAGCUAAGCUAAGCUAAGCUAAGAUGUAAAAUUAAGUAAUUGCUGUGAUGUCGUAAGUGUUUGUGGGUGAGGUAUCAUAUGCAUAUUGUAAUAAUAUUGGUUUGGUUUUCAUUGCAUUAAUUGCAUGUUAAUAUAUAUGUACUUAAGCAACACUGAAAUCUAUAAUUAAUCAGCAUGUUUUUAUUUUAGCCA